CCUACGGGUGGCAGCAGUGAGGAAUCUUGGUCAAUGGACGAAAGUCUGAACCAGCCAAGUAGCGUGAGGGAUGAAUGCCCUAUGGGUUGUAAACUUCUUUUAUAUGGGAAUAAAAUGUUCCACGUGUGUGAUUUUGUCUGUACCGUAUGAAUAAGGAUCGGCUAAAUCCGUGACAGCAGCCGCGGUAAUACGGAGGAUCCGAGCGUUAUCCGGAUUUAUUGGGUUUAAAGGGAGCGUAGGUGGAUUGUUAAGUCAGUUGUGAAAGUUUGCGGCUCAACCGGACAAGUGCAGUUGAAACUGGCAGUCUUGAGUACAGAAGAGGUGGGCGGAAUUCGUGGUGUAGCGGUGAAAUGCGUAGAUAUCACGAAGAACCCCGAUUGCGAAGGCAGUUCACUGGACUGCAACUGACGCUGAGGCUCGAAAGUGUGGGUAUCAAACAGGAUUAGAUACCCUGGUAGUC
rnacentral:rRNA from 1 species